rnacentral:lncRNA from 1 species
UGGCCCUGCUAUUAUUUUGUCAUAUACAUUGUUCUUAGUUCGUCCCAAUCAGGUGGCACAGAGCAAUUCUAGUAAGCUCAAUUCUAGCACUUUCUAACUGCCAGAGAGUCCCAGAAAUAAAAUGGACUGCCCUGGAAAAGAGUGAUCUCUCUAUCAGCAGAGACCAGAAGACCAGCCAGGAGGUUCUGGAAGAGGAAGGAGUGGCCCAGGAAUCUGUUAGCACAACAGCAUCCUCAAAGUGCUCAUCCUUACAGGAAGUGUUGCGUGACUUAUGGCACAUCCAUGCUGUGGAACCCAAUCCAACCACUCAGAGAAUGAG